AAAGAAGAAUAAAACGAGUGCAUUUUUAUCCAUAGAGUUUCAAACUAUACGUCAAUGGUACUGCAAGAGGGAGAAAAGUGAAAACCAACCAAAUCUUACUAUUCUAUAACUAAAUUAUUCAUUCCAAAAAUUUCUUCAAUACCAUAUCUAGUGCCCCCCACCCCCACCAAAUAACAUUCUUGUUCCCCUCCCCUCUUCUCAACCAAAAUUCUUUCUCCUCUUAUGACAUAUUAGAAAGAAAGCAUAAACAAGAUAGAGAAACACUUUAUGAAUCAUUCCCAAUAAUCGGUGCUCUCGGUCCUUACUCAGAUGGCUCGACGACUUGUGGCUCUACCACUUCAGCAGAGCUUGCAUCUGACUCAAUUGAUGUUUCUUCUGAUGCCUCUGUCUCUUCUUCCUCGAAUCGUCCCCAUCUUCCUCCAAGAGCCAUUGCCAUCAUCUCGUAGAUCUUGCCACCCAACUCAGCGGGACUAUCAGGAGUAAAUCCACUGGAGAUCAAUGCGGUGUCAAACAACAGUUCCACAGCCCGCUUGGCGUCAGAACUAUCGGGUGAUUUUCUGCAUGCAGCAUUUAGGUCUUUGAUGAUUGGAUGAUCGGGAUUAACCUCCAAUAUUCUUCUCCCUCUCAUAAAUUCCAGGGUUGAAGUGUCUCCCAAGGUUUGUGCUCUCAUCAAUCUUUCCAUGUUGGCUGACCAACCGAACUUUCCAGAUACAAGCACACAUGGUGAUGAGCUUAAACGCUUUGAAACUUGUACUUUUGCCACCUUAUCACCCAACUGUUGUUUUAUCCAAUCACAUAGAAGAUUGUACUCUUGCUUGGCUUCCCUGUCUUUCACCUCAUCAUCAUCAUCAAGCUCCAGGUCCUCUUUGCUAAUGUCAACAAACUUCUUUUCCUUGUAUGUUUGUAAAUUCUGGAUAGCCACCUCAUCUAUUGGUUCAACGAGGUACAACACCUCAAUACCCUUCUGGACCAACUUCUCCAAGAAAGGAGCAGUCCUGGCACUCUGUAAGCUAUCAGUGGCCAAAUAGUAAAUGGCUUUCUGAUUUUCGCCCAUGUUCUCAACAUAGUCAUCUAAGCUUAUCAAUUCUUCUUCACUUUUGGAAGAAAAGAAUCUCAGUAAUGGGGUUAUCCGCUUGUGAUUACCAGUGUCUUCA
rnacentral:misc_RNA from 1 species